rnacentral:rRNA from 1 species
CGUAAGUAAAUCAAGGGCAUACGGUGAAUGCCUAGGAGAUUGGAGGCGAUGAAGGACGUGAUACUCUGCGAAAAGCUACGGUGAGCUGAGAAUAUGCUUUGACCCGUAGAUAUCCGAAUGGGGAAACCCAGUGCUUAGCACUAUCCCUUACUGAAUACAUAGGUAAGGGAAGCGAACCCGGAGAACUGAAACAUCUAAGUACCCGGAGGAAAAGAAAUCAACCGAGAUUCCGUUAGUAGUGGCGAGCGAAAACGGACCAGGCCAUUGGAAUGCUGUGAAAUAGUUGAAUGUGUUGGGAAGCACAGCCAUAGACGGUGAUAGCCCGGUAAAUAAAAUGAAACAGCAAACCAUCGAGUAGGGCGGAACACGUGAAAUUCUGUCUGAACAUGGGGGGACCAUCCUCCAAGCCUAAAUACUACCAAUCUACCGAUAGUGUACCAGUACCGUGAGGGAAAGGUGAAAAGUACCCCGAUAAGGGGGGUGAAAUAGUUCCUGAAACCGUAUGCCUACAAGCAGUCGGAGGGCGUAAGCCUGACGGCGUACCUUUUGUAUAAUGGGUCAGCGACUUAUAUUAUAUAGCAAGCUUAAGCAAACACGUGUAGGCGCAGCGAAAGCGAGUCUGAAUAGGGCGUUUAGUUAUAUGGUAUAGACCCGAAACUAGGUGAUCUAGCCAUGGGCAGGUUGAAGGUAAGGUAACACUUACUGGAGGACCGAACCCACGCAUGUUGAAAAAUGCGGGGAUGACCUGUGGCUCGGAGUGAAAGGCUAAUCAAACCUAGAGAUAGCUGGUUCUCCUCGAAAACUAUUUAGGUAGUGCCUCGUGUAUUACUUCCGGGGGUAGAGCACUGGAUGGGCUAGGGGGGCCUACAGCCCUACCAAACCUAACCAAACUCCGAAUACCGGAAAGUAUCAGCACGGGAGACAGACUUAGGGUGCUAAGGUCCUAGGUCGAAAGGGUAACAGCCCAGACCGCCAGCUAAGGUCCCCAAAUUUAUGCUAAGUGUGAAAUCAGGUGAAACUGCCCAGACAAUCAGGAGGUUGGCUUAGAAGCAGCCACCCUUUAAAGAAAGCGUAACAGCUCACUGAUCAAGCGGUUUUGCGGAGAAGAUGUAACGGGGCUAAAGCAUAAUACCGAAGCUGCGGACUUGAACUUUUGUUCAAGUGGUAGAGGAGCGUUCUGUAAGCCGAUGAAGGUGAACCGACGAGGUUUGCUGGAGGUAUCAGAAGUGAGAAUGCUGACAUGAGUAGCGACUAGACGGGUGAGAACCCCGUCCGCCGAAAUCCCAAGGUUUCCUACGCCAUGCCAAUCAGCGUAGGGUUAGUCGGCACCUAAGGCGAGGCCGAAAGGCGUAGUCGAUGGAAAGCAGGUUAAUAUUCCUGCACCAGUUGGAGGUUGACGGCAUCUGUGAAUUGUACUUUCUAAUCGGAUUGUUAAGUGCAGUGAAGGAUGUCCAGGAAAUAGCACCAACAUUAGGCCGUACCCCAAACCGACACAGGUGGGAAGGUUGAGUAUACCAAGGCGUUGAGAGAACUAUGGUUAAGGAACUCGGCAAAAUGCAUGCGUAACUUCGGGAUAAGCAUGCCCACCCUUUGGGCAACCAGAGGGUGGGGGCACAGAAUUGGGGGUGGCGACUGUUUACUAAAAACACAGGACUAUGCAAACACGAAAGUGGACGUAUAUGGUCUGACUCCUGCCCGGUGCUGGAAGGUUAAUUGAUGAUGUGCAAGCAUUUGAUCGAAGCCCCAGUAAACGGCGGCCGUAACUAUAACGGUCCUAAGGUAGCGAAAUUCCUUGUCGGGU